CCAGACAUAAAAUUACUACGAGGGAGACAGAACUAUAAACCACACAAGAGAAAACAAAUCCAUGGAAACGAUGAUGCCCAUAAGCACUCUCUUACAUUAACCAGACAUAAUAUGACGAAUUAGGGAGACAAACUAUAGAGGCCGGUUCGAUUUUUUUCUUUUUUUUUGGGUGGUGCACCAAACCUUGCGAUUAUUAGGAUUUGGACACAGAGUCCACCCAACUAGGCGGCAGCUUUCCCCUCUUCUCCAAGAAUUCCGCAGCAUCCUUGUUAUACUGAAAACACAAGAUUACCAUGAGGAUUAAAACACUAUAUUGCCAAUUCAACUGCAUUACCAUGAUGAUGUUUUAUUAGCUUACCUCUUUCACCAUUUCAUCAAAUUUGGAAGCACUAUCUCCCGUAAAGUAAGAAGCUUGAUACAAAAAAAAAAGAAAAAAAAAAACACAAGAAACAAAGCGUGAUUAUUAAUCUAAUUCGAGGUGUAAGUAAAGAGUAUAGAAUCUUACCUACAACGAACCCCGUUAACGUUGCAAAACCUCGAGGUAAGAGCCACUCGUAAAUAGAAAUUCCCCCUACAAUCAGAAGAAAGCAAAGAACUUAGAUCUUCCCUCCAAAUACAACACCCAAUUCAUCAGUGGGUAACCUUUGUCAUCGAUAGGAUUGGGAGCGGAGGAGGAGGAGGAUGAGAAAGUACGCCCUUGACGAACGCGGUAAGCCUGUGAACAUAAAUUCAGUUAGAAAUCAGAUGAUAGAUCGCAAUCUGAUUCUCGAGAUUUACCUUCGCGACCAAAGAUCUCAGGUUCGGCCUCAUGGUCGGCAAUUUAGGUUUCCACUUAUCUUCUUACGCAAGGUUACUCUCGCCUUUUAAAUAUAUGUUAAUGUAGUUCUAUGGGCCCUGGCCCAAAGCAACACAAUUUACAAAUGCUGUUGCAUCUAUCUUAUUAAAAGAGAGAAUCAUUUUAAAGAAGAUUUGAAAAUAAAAUUAUUAAGGUAAUGAAUGGUAUUGUCAUCGGUGUGAAGUUUGUAAGUUCAUCACAUAUAUGGUUUUUAGAGUUUGCUGAUGAAGCUGGUGUGUGUGCCUUCCAUGCAUGAAUAUAAUAUACUUUUUAACUUGAGCCUAGCCUUUCAUUACAUUCCAUUAAUUUCUAAACUUUGGAAAAGAACAAAUGUAUAUAAUAUAGUUCAUGUAUAAAUUCUCAGCUUAUUGAUGUCAAAAAAAAAACUGAGCUUAAAAGUUAGCUUCCCUUUCAAAAUCUUGUUAGAAUGAGCAUGAUGAAAAAUGUUCCAUAUAAGGCCUAACAUGCUUUGAAUAUGUUCCUCUAGAAAUAUGAUAACAUGCUGUAUGGAAGUAACAGAUUAUUAAUGCAUGCCUCUUCGCUUGUUGCUCAUCUCUCUGUACAUCUUUAGAUAUUAUCAGGACACAAGGAAAGUUCCAUGAUUUUAUAAGAAAAAAGUGGUUAAAUGGACAUGCAUGGCAUUCUUGAAAAAGAAAAUAUAGCUAAGAGACUAAACUUAGAUUGAUUGCUAUCUUUUCAAGGUCGACCUUAAAAGAAACUCAGAAACCUUUGCUAUGUAAUGGAGAUGUUUGCAUGCCUUGAUUUGCCUUCCAUGAAUGCUUCAUUUGUCGUUUGUAGCUUCAGGACAACCCAAACGAUUCAGGUUUGUAACCAAACGAUGUUGGAAUUUCUGGACUCAGACAUUGGCCUCGAAAACAGGUCAAACUUUCACUUAGCGUGUUCUGAUUUGGAAUCAGAGCAACCGAUCUUGUCUUCUUAUUUUAAUUCACCGUUUUAUGGAUUAUAUGUUGUGAUAAUUGCAAGUAACUUCAUGUAUGCAUGCGUGAGAAAAAAAAUCAGGAAUAAAUAGACUCCAUUACAUUGAAUGAGGGAGACAGAACUAUAAACCACAGAAGAGAAAACAAAUCCAUGGAAACGAUGAUGAGCAUAAGCAGAUACUCUUACAUAAACCUUACAAAUUAGGGAGACAAACUAUAUAAAGGCCGGCUUUGUUUGAACAUGAGCUAAUUAGGAUUUGUACAUAGCGUCCAAAGAACCAGGUGGCAGCUUUCCCCUCUUCUCCAAGAAUUCCACAGCAUCCUUGUCAAUCUAAAACCACAAGAUGAUCAAAAACACCAUU
rnacentral:lncRNA from 1 species